AUAGAUCAACUAUUGAGCACUUUCACACAUUGCGGGAUAAACUUCAAAAGGAGUCUGAUCUGUUUGAGUGCUUUGCGCAUACGCACAAAAAGAAGGAUGGUACAUUCGUUGAUGAGAGGUCAAAGAAAACCGCUGACGAAAUAUAAGCACGACAUGAUGCUGCAAUGCAAGAGGCGGAAGGGUCAACUGAGCCACCAGUUAUAGACAUGUCACAGAUGUAUGUGGAUGUUGUUGGUGGGGUAAAAAAAUAGCGUAUUUAUGGCUUAGGGACUAAGUCAUCUGCAUUUAUCAACGGGAAUAGUUGUAGUUCAUUUGCUACUUCACAACUUCAACAAGAGGCAAUGAAGGAGAUGGUGAACCAACAGUUAGAGACCAUGCGAGUUGAGAUGGAAGCUAAACUACAUGCUGAAAGAACUCAAAUGCAAGCUCAAAUUGCAAGUUUGAUGGAUGAGUUGCGUCGCAACGGCAUGC